rnacentral:misc_RNA from 1 species
AAGUCGUAACAAGGUUUCCGUAGGUGAACCUGCGGAAGGAUCAUUAACACGUUUCCACGUACUACCUCCGUGAAUUGUUUUCAUUCUACCUUCAUAUAAUAAGAAAUGAAUCGAGCCAGCUUCAGGAUUGAUUGGGCCUUGCAUUCGUGCUUGUGCUGUCUGAGUCCGCUACUGAAAAUUUAUUUUCGACGAUUGUAUUCUUAUUGAAGGCAUUCUUAAUGGCUCUAUUUCCCAUUGUAUCCAUUCAACAAUGGAGAUAGGGUCGCCAAUUAUUUAACUUCAUUCACCACUUUUUUGCUAGUUGACUUUUAUCAUGUAGAACUAUACGCUUUGUCGUUUAUUUCUAUACGUUUAAUUUAUUUGAACGAAAUCGUACAACUCUUAGCAAUGGAUAUCUCGGUUCUC